AAUCUCAAAGCGAAUCUUCGGAAGAGCGAUGAGAUGGAGAGCGGCGGACGGGUGAGUAACGCGUAGGCAACCUGCCCCAUACAGAGGGAUAGCCUCGGGAAACCGGGAUUAAAACCUCAUAAUGCGAAGGGUUCACAUGUUUCCUUCGCCAAAGAUUUAUCGGUAUGGGAUGGGCCCGCGUCUGAUUAGCUAGUUGGUGGGGUAACGGCCUACCAAGGCAACGAUCAGUAGCCGACCUGAGAGGGUAAUCGGCCACAUUGGAACUGAGACACGGUCCAAACUCCUACGGGAGGCAGCAGUGGGGAAUAUUGCACAAUGGGCGAAAGCCUGAUGCAGCAACGCCGCGUGAGCGAUGAAGGCCUUUGGGUCGUAAAGCUCUGUCCUUGGGGAAGAAAAAAAUGACGGUACCCUUGGAGGAAGCCCCGGCUAACUACGUGCCAGCAGCCGCGGUAAUACGUAGGGGGCAAGCGUUAUCCGGAAUUAUUGGGCGUAAAGAGUGCGUAGGUGGUUUUGUAAGCGCGGGGUGAAAGGCUAUGGCUCAACCAUAGUAAGCCCUGCGAACUGUGAGACUUGAGUGCAGGAGAGGAAAGUGGAAUUCCUAGUGUAGCGGUGAAAUGCGUAGAUAUUAGGAGGAACACCAGUGGCGAAGGCGACUUUCUGGACUGUAACUGACACUGAGGCACGAAAGCGUGGGGAGCAAACAGGAUUAGAUACCCUGGUAGUCCACGCCGUAAACGAUGAGCACUAGGUGUCGGGGUCGCAAGGCUUCGGUGCCGCAGUUAACGCAUUAAGUGCUCCGCC
rnacentral:rRNA from 1 species